rnacentral:rRNA from 1 species
UACGAAGGGGGCUAGCGUUGUUCGGAAUUACUGGGCGUAAAGCGCGCGUAGGCGGUGAUCUUUGUCAGAGGUGAAAGCCCGGGGCUCAACUCCGGAAUUGCCUUUGAAACGGGAUCGCUUGAGUCCGAGAGAGGAUGGCGGAAUUCCUAGUGUAGAGGUGAAAUUCGUAGAUAUCAAGCAGAACACCUGCGGCGAAGGCGGCCUUCUGGACGAUGACUGACGCUGAGACGCGAAAGCGUGGGGAGCAAACAGG